rnacentral:rRNA from 1 species
UGAGGAAUAUUGCACAAUGGGCGGAAGCCUGAUGCAGCAACGCCGCGUGAGGGACGAAGGCCUUCGGGUCGUAAACCUCUUUUCUGUGGGACGAGACAAGGACGGUACCACAGGAAUCAGUCUCGGCUAACUACGUGCCAGCAGCCGCGGUAAAACGUAGGAGGCGAGCGUUAUCCGGAUUUACUGGGCGUAAAGCGCACGCAGGCGGCUUGGUAAGUUGGACGUGAAAGCUCCUGGCUUAACUGGGAGAGGCCGUUCGAAACUGCCGGGCUUGAGGUUGGGAGAGGGGUGUGGAAUUCCCGGUGUAGUGGUGGAAUGCGUAGAUAUCGGGAGGAACACCAGUGGCGAAGGCGGCACCCUGGCCCACACCUGACGCUGAGGUGCGAAAGCGUGGGGAGCAAACAGG